rnacentral:lncRNA from 1 species
AUUGUAUAACAAAAAUUAAUUUAUCUAAAUGUUUACAACAAAAUAUAUCACGAUAAAUGAAAUGAAAAUGAAAAUUAUAAUGAAAUAAAAUUAAUACAUUAAAAUUAGAAAGAAAAAUAAUAAUAAUUAAAAAUCAAAAUGUAAUUAAUAAAUUAUAUUUUGAUCUUACUCAUUGUUUCAUGUUUUCUGUCAUGCCAUGGUUGACACACCCCGUCCCGAAGGAGGGCGUGCUGGCCGUCACGUGAGAGUGACGUAACCAUUUACAUAGUUCGGAAGCUCUUAAAAUACAAUUACUAAAUGGAAACCCCCGAGGGUGAGUCCUACUUUUGUGAAUUCUGUCAGAACACCGUUGGAUUCCUCGUGGCCACCAAAGCUCUGCUAUCUAGGACCUGGAGGGGCGCAAAACAAAAUUGAGUGGGUCAGUAAAACAAAGUUUUUUGAAAACUUUUCAUUUAAAACAUUUCUAACCCCUCGCUGUAAAACCUGUAUACUUUACCAGAAAAUAGCAUAUAUAUAAGAAAAAUCUCAAAUCACAAUCCUUUAACACUUUUCAAAAAAAUAUGCCAUGCCAAGUGUCAAAAACAUAAUCAGAAUGCAUCAAUAUAAAUCAGGUGAAAAUAAAUCAACCGGAGACCCUCAAGUGGUCCUGUACGGCUGAUUCUAAAGCUCAACAUCCAAUCCAACCGGAGUCACCUCGGUGACCUGUACGGUCUAACUCUGCACGUCACUCGGAACUACAUAAGAUAGUUUGUACGAUGACAGGUGUAUAAAUACGCUCUAGUGCUUCUCACAUCAAUCAUCAGCGUGCAUAUCUAAGGUCACCCACCAGUCGGAACCCCUCUAAUGGUCUGUACGACUGGCAUGUCGGAACCCUCACAUGGUCUGUACGACAUCCACCUACUUGGAUCCAAGGCGAGCGUGCGGUGUGGUGAAUAAUAAUAUAAGCACUAACACCUAGGGGCAUGUUAUGAGCUUUCAAUGCAAUUCAUAUAAAAUAACUCAUCUGAAUAAUAAUAAGACUCACAUGUGCGUCCUCCGCGCCAAUUCACAUAUAUAUAUGCAUCAGUUAUCAAUUCACAUAUCACAUAUUAUGCAUGCAUGGCAUUUAAAAACGUAUUUUCAUUCAAACUCAAUUUCUGGGAAAAAUAUCAAUAGUAUAUAGGUAUUAACAGAAAUACUGCCCACUCACCUGGAGUUCGCCCAACAACUCCCUAGCACCGUACAUCAAGGCGUCAUGAAGAUUAGCGCCUAGAACAAUAAACAAAUCCAACCUCAGAAAUCAUGCCGAUAGAAUACAUAACUUAUAUAAGACACGUCACUACGUAGUUCGAUCCAGAUGAUCUGCAACUCAGAUUUCAAAUCCAUAACUUUCAGAGGUCCACAAUAUACCUCUAGGACAAUAUCCUAAAAUUUCAUUACCAUCCAACGGUCGGAUCUCCGUCAAUUUCCAAAACUAAGUGACGGUUAACAUUCUAUUUUAUGAACUUACAACUCCAAUUCCGGAAGAUCCGUAAAUCGGAUUCCCAAUCCGUAAGUUCCUAUAAUCCUCAAAUAUUACGUAUUACAACGUAUCAAAGUUUGGUGACGAUCCAACGGUCGGAUCGUCAAUUCAUAUUUUCAUCUAACCACGAAUCGUAACCAACUUAGGUUCAAUUAUUCAAUUUACAUCCCUCAAUUAUCAAAACUGAACCUAGAACCUUAAACACAUGCUAAUAAUGACAUUGGCGGGCCAUUGGACACGCGCCGCCGCGGGUGGCGGUUGGCCGCCCCGGCUCGCCGGAAAAUUCAACUAUUUCGAAAAAUUACCAAAAUUUGCAGAUUUGAAGAUCUCAAUGAGUAGAACAACUUUCAUACCUGUGUCCAAGGCCAAUUUGGCCUGGAAGUGCUUCAAUUUCACCAAAACCGUGAAGAACCCUAGAAUUGGGUGUUUCCAAUUCGACCUUCAAAAUUGUUCCAACGCCUCUACUACCUCUUGGGAUUUGUUCUAGGUCCUAAAGGAAUGUUAAUGGUGUUAGUAAUUGAAAGAAAACAUUUCAAAAUUUGAAGAAUUUAGACAAAAAAGUCGCGGCACCCGUAGGGGUGUUCUUCGCGAAAUCACCACGAAAUUCAAUGAUUCUUGGGGUGAAACGUGAAGAGGGAAGGUCUAGAUGUUGAUUGGGAGUGGUACCUUGAUUCAAUUCGUCGGAAAAUUGGACGAAAAAGGCGAGAACCCGCCGAUUUGGAAGCAUGGGACGCGCGGGUCAAGGGUGACCCGUUUCCUCCUGUUCCCCCGUUCACCACUCUCCCUCCUUUCCCUCCUUUCCUUCCUCUGGUUGGUCAGUUUCUCCCUCUCUCUUCUUCUGAUUCGCCUCUCCUACUUCUUCUCCGAUUGGGCAGUUUUGCC